UAUUGACAAUUUUCAUUUACUGGUCAUCAGUUCCAAGGAGCAUUUUCAAAAAGCAACAACAGUUAUUAAGUGACGGCAGUUCAUUAUCGGAAAAAAAUAAAAAUGUCUUUCCUUGCAAAAAUUGUCCUUGUCGUUUUCAUGUUGGUCUGCUGUUUGCAGUUUGUCUUUAUGGCCCGUUUGAGACGUGAAGACACCUCAGCUGAUAAAGCAAAAUCGAUGGAUAGUAUAGAUAUCAAUGCCUUGGGCAACAUGAUCUUGGAUAAAUUGAAGGAUAGCUUAAAGAAUGGCGAUGAAACGUUGAAGAAUAUUCUUGAUGUCGCUACUAAUUCAUUCCAACAAUAUGCUAAUAAUGCAGCUGCUGCUGCUGCUUAGGCUGUGUGAUCGUGAGUGAUCUUAGAAAUGUAAAUUGUGGAAAUGCCUAAAAGUAGGCUUUAUUUUUUUGUUGAAGUACUAAACGAAAUGAUCUUCAAUAUAUUCAAUAAAAAAACCUAUUAAGUAUCGAUUCUUUAAACAA